rnacentral:misc_RNA from 1 species
GUGGGAGCUGGCUUGCCUGCGAUUGCGGUGGGUCAGCCAGUUGAAGGGUGACUGACAGAAUGCAAUCGCAGGCAAGCCAGCUCCCAC